rnacentral:rRNA from 1 species
AUUGAACGCUGGCGGCAUGCUUUACACAUGCAAGUCGAGCGGAGAUGAGGUGCUUGCACCUUAUCUUAGCGGCGGACGGGUGAGUAAUGCUUAGGAAUCUGCCUAUUAGUGGGGGACAACAUUCCGAAAGGAAUGCUAAUACCGCAUACGUCCUACGGGAGAAAGCAGGGGAUCUUCGGACCUUGCGCUAAUAGAUGAGCCUAAGUCGGAUUAGCUAGUUGGUGGGGUAAAGGCCUACCAAGGCGACGAUCUGUAGCGGGUCUGAGAGGAUGAUCCGCCACACUGGGACUGAGACACGGCCCAGACUCCUACGGGAGGCAGCAGUGGGUAAUAUUGAACAGUGGGGAGAACCCUGAUCUAGCCAUGCCGCGUGUGUGAAGAAGGCCUUAUGGUUGUAAAGCACUUUAAGCGAGGAGGAGGCUACUGAGACUAAUACUCUUGGAUAGUGGACGUUACUCGCAGAAUAAGCACCGGCUAACUCUGUGCCAGCAGCCGCCGUAACAC